rnacentral:lncRNA from 1 species
UAUAUCAAACGAGACCGGAAUUGAAUUAUGUGAAACAACGCUUAUACUCUAAGCUACCGUUUGGUUCGGGGUUAAGAAAAAACUAGUUAUUCCAGGGAUAGGAUUAAGUUUAGGGUUAAGGUGGGGUUAUUUUUGUGUUUGGUUGAGAAUUAGAAUUAGUUCAGGAUAGUGAAAAAUAGUGUUUGGUUGGAGUAGGUGGGAUAAGAAGGAUAGUGAGUUAUUAUGAAUAGAAAAUAGUGUUUGGUUGGGCUUUGAUGGGAUUAGCUAACCCGGGAUAAUCUAUUUUUAGAAGUGUUUGGGAAUAAAAUGGGCCUUUACGUCUGAGCUCGAGACUUUUUAAUCGGCCUAUGACGUGGGCUUGAAUUAAAUGAGAGAAAAUUAAUAUGCUAGGAGCCUGGCGUGAUUCGAACUCAGAAUAUCCUGCUCUGAUACCAUGAUACCAUGUAAAACAACCGCUGUACUCUAAAAACUUAAUCUGUUAGAGAACGGUGUUUAAAUAUUUUUAUAUUUAACAAAUUAUGUAUAUUUUUAUUAUGAGAAA